UUCAUUUCCUGAACUGCUGAAUCGUUUAUGGCACGAGAACCUUAACAGUUUUUUGCAAACCACAAUCUGACUUUGCAAGGCAUGUGCAGUUUACAUCAGGCUAUAGCAGAGAAGGAAAGGUGGUUGGUGACAUGCAACUUCUCUGAGUGGCCUUUGCUGGGUAACAUUUAGUGAAUUGUCAUCUAGUCACAUGUCUGUGUCCCUUCUCUGGAACCUUGACACAAUGCCCACUUAUUGCCUGGCUCCUAGGUGAGACAGGACACACUUCCACCACCCUAUUAAGCAUGGCUGAUAUUUCUGUUUUGCUGCUAUUAACUGGAGAUCUCUA
rnacentral:lncRNA from 1 species